GGGAAUAUUUGUCAGUCUAAGUAUUUUAAAAUAUCGAAACGCAAUUUAAGUCCCAACACGGCCGGUUUAACAAAUCGAAAAACAGACUAGGACCCACCCAGCACCAGACGUCAUUUGGACGUCGUUUUCUGGUCUAAAUCAAGUCGGCCCGUCAUGGCCAUCUUUUAGACCAAAAAGCGACGUUGAAAAUUGGUCUUCAUUUGGUCCGUCGGAUUUGGUCCAAAUUAAGCCCAAAAAGCGACGCUGAAAAUUGGUCUUCGUUUGGUCCGUCGGAUUUGGUCCAAAUUAAGCCCAAAAAGCGACGUUGAAAAUUGGUCUAAGAUUGGUCCGUCGGAUUUGGUCCAAAUUAAGCCCAAAAAGCGACAUUUAACGUCUUUUUUUUAAAUUUAGGCCAAAAAUAGGUGUAAAUGGGCUUUAGUCCAAAUUUAGCAGAAAAAAACUUUUAUUUCGCACCACAAAGCCAUUAACAUAAAUUAGUGAAGAAAUAUAUUAGACAUGUCUGAAGCACUGUUAAAUAUAUUUAAAUAUAUUUUGAAAACACUUGAUGGUCACGCGCUGUACUGGAGUCACCAUGGAAACGGGGCUCAGCUCAACCGUCAAGCAGCUGCAGACGCUGUCUCUCGUGGUUGUUUUCACUAAUUUCAGAAAUGGUCAGUGUCUUCAGAAAAAGUCCGUUAGCAUCUCAACUGUAAUGCUAACUACAAGAGUUAUUUUGAUGUCCACACUGUAAGAGUAUUAAUCGAUUCUUCCAUGCUGAUGGCCAUGCAUGUAUCCAGCUGAAGAACAUUUUUAGACAUUAUGAAACAUAUAACUAAGACUGAAAAUCAUUGAUAAACCACAAGAGUUUAGCUCCAACCCCAGUUAAGCAGACCUGAGCAGCUGAUCAAGGAUCAGCAGAAACUCUGCAGAACGGUGCUCCUCCAGCCCAGGACUGGACACCAGUGUUAUGCUAGAGAAAAAACAGCGAGGCUCCAGCAUUCAAAGUGGAAACAUCUGCCGUGGCUCAUUCAUCCAGAAUUGGGAUGGAGGAAGGAGCAGAAGAUCAGAGAUCAGGCAGAGAUCUACUGGUGCCCCUGUGGGAACCCCAUUUACCUAAUGUGUUUUUUAAACCAAAGAUUUUCCUCACUCAUCUUCAUGUUGUUCCAAGCCAGACUUUUUUUGAAACAUAAAUGCAGAACUUUUUAAUGAAAUCUGAGAAUUAUUUUAAAUAUAAAAUAACGCAUUCACACAAGCACCAUGAUGCAUCAGUGU